UACGUAGGGUGCAAGCGUUAAUCGGAAUUACUGGGCUUAAAGCGUGCGCAGGCGGUUAUGCAAGACAGAUGUGAAAUCCCCGGGCUUAACCUGGGAACCGCAUUUGUGACUGCAUAGCUGGAGUACGGCAGAGGGGGAUGGAAUUCCGCGUGUAGCAGUGAAAUGCGUAGAUAUGCGGAGGAACACCGAUGGCGAAGGCAGUCCCCUGGGCCUGUACUGACGCUCAUGCACGAAAGCGUGGGGAGCAAACAGG
rnacentral:rRNA from 1 species